AGUAACGCGUGGGUAACCUGCCUCAUACAGGGGGAUAACAGUUAGAAAUGACUGCUAAUACCGCAUAAGCGCACAGUGCUGCAUGGCACAGUGUGAAAAACUCCGGUGGUAUGAGAUGGACCCGCGUCUGAUUAGCUAGUUGGUGGGGUAACGGCUUACCAAGGCGACGAUCAGUAGCCGGCCUGAGAGGGUGAACGGCCACAUUGGGACUGAGACACGGCCCAAACUCCUACGGGAGGCAGCAUG
rnacentral:rRNA from 1 species